rnacentral:lncRNA from 1 species
GAUCAUUGACCAAUUAGAUGAUCAUGGUGAGUAACUUACUGGCUCUGAACCAGUUUUUCCAUUGCAAAAAAGGGAUGAGAGAUCUUAGUUCAUUGGAUUCUCACGAGGAAUGUGUAAGAUAAUACAUGUGAAGGUACUUCCUAAUCCAUAAAAUACUUGAAAAAUUAUUACUAUUUGUGGCCGAAGGGUUUAAUAAUAAAUUUACAUAAUUCCUGAAAACCAUAUAAGGAGUGAAUGCUGACAGAAAGAGUAGGCCCAGCUCUUCUUUUUCUGGAUCUAUGUUAUUGAUACCCUGCUGGACACCAGAUGAAGUAAGCCUGUUCUAAAGUCUCUCUCAUGGCAUGUCCACAAUUCUGCUCCCUGCCCUCACUGACCACAUAUGACAGAAGUACUAAUAGGCUGAGGAAAGACGAAACCCUCCCUUUGAGUAUCUUGUUUCUUUUUCGGGGAAAGAGUCCCUCUCCUCAAAGAACUGAAAUCCAUUUCUUGAUAUGGAAGUUAUUGGAAAAAAUUAUUUGCAAAGAAAAUCUUACUAAAAAACAAAAACAAACAACUCCCCAAAACCCACAAACAAAAAAAUCCCACUGAAUCAGAUGGCGUUAUUUCUUCAGAUUCAUUAGUUGGAAAAGAGCUGCCUCUCUUUAGGCACUGUGGGUGAGGGUCCUCCAAGCAUUUAUUUGUGAUAAUGGGUGAAGCUGGGUCACUCGACUUUAGCUGGAAAGGAUCCUCCAUCUACAGUUGGAAUGUUCCUCUUUUGAAAAUGAGAAAACUGAAGCCUGGAGUAUGUUAAAACUCCCAUUUUCAUAUCCAGUUUUAUGUCUUGCCAUAUCCAAGUUUUUAUUUUGUAUUUUAGCCAUGCAACAUUUAUUAUUUUAGUCUCUGCAGUGCUCUGUGUAUGUAUGCUUCUACCUCGGGGCGUUUGCACAUGUUAUUUUUAUGUCUUGAACAAAUCUCUCUCUUUCUCUACCCCUCCCUCUUUAUACCAUUUCGUGUGUCUAUAGCCUACCCCACAGUGAUUGAUAUUAUAGCACUUGUAAUUUAUCCAUCUGUCUGUCUCCUUCACCAGACUGUGCAUCUAAAGAGAAGGACCAUUUCACCACUUAAUAAUCCCCAAUGUAUUCCUUUUGCUCUGCCAAAUUCUUGGUUUAUUUUAAAUGUUCAACAAGUACUUGUGGAAUGAAAACAUAAAUGAAGAUGUGCUAAUACUUUUAUUUUUAACGUUUUAAUCUCCUUUGGAUAUUUUUGUAACCUUCAAGGGUGUAAAAUCCUUAUAUGGUAUGUAAGGGCCUAGGGUUUUUAAGCUCUCAGUCAACGAUAAAAUGAAACAACUAGGGCUUCUUAUUAAAUCUGAGCAAAGACGUAGUCAUAGGCAAAGUUGCUUUUUUUAUUCAACAAAGUUAACACCUCAAAGAUAUAAUGAAAAAAUGGAAGAGAUUAUGGAAAAUGUUGGAUUCCUAUGGGGAGAAGGAAGAUAUGUCUUUGAAAGUAGCUCCAGAUAAAUGAAGAGAAUUGAAGUCCUAGCUUUGGGAUAGCUAAUUGGUGAGAAUUACUGUAGAUAUGUAGAGUAAUUGUCAGUUGAGGAAGACUAUAUAAAAGUAGGAAACAUCCUACCUUGAGGGAUUUAGAGCAAGGGCUGGGCACUGGUUCAGGCACCUAAGAAUACCUUUUUCUCUGAGGGUACAGCCCUGGGUAAUAGGCAGCCACUUACAACUGUUUUAAUACUUCUGUUCUCUGUUUCCAAUUGGAGUGUUCCCAAGGGCAGGGACUUCUCUAAAUAUCUCUGAUUCUUACAAAACUGGCAUAGAGCCUAGCACAGAGCAGGGUUUUAGUGAAGAAAGCUUUUGAAUGAAUAAGUAGAAGUUAGAAGUAGAGAUAAAAUAAAACAUUUUAGAUGUUUUGGUGUAUGUAUAUUGUGAUGACUCAGCAAUGUGGGAAAAGUGGCUGGUUGCAUGCAACUGGCAGUCUGGACGGUGAGUUUUUCUUCUAGCAUCCAACAGGGCAGGUGAUCAGUAGAAUCUAGUAAAGCCUGAGCCCCAAUGCCACUUCUGUUUCUGUUAACUGUAUGACUUAAGUCUUCUUAACCGCCAGGAUAUUCAUCUUUCAACAGAGCUAAACAGGAAUUCUCAUCAUGGUGCAGUAGGUUAAAAAUCUGACUGCAGCAGCUUGGGUCCCUGCAGAUCAACGGGGUGAUCCCUGGCUGGGAGUAGUGAGUUAAAGAAUCUGGCAUUGCUGCACCUGCAGUGCAGAUCACAGCUGUGUGUCCCUGGCCCUGGAACUUCCAUAUGUUGUGGGUGCACCCAUAAACAAACAAACAAACAAAUAAACAAAAUGAGCUUAACAAUACUACUUACAUCUGAGGAUGGUUAUAAAGAGUAGCAAUGCUUAGAAGUGUAUUGGUGUACAGUAUGCACUCAGUAAAUACUAGCGAUAAAAGCAAUAUCCAACAUUUAUUAGUGCUAUUAUAUGUGUGUAUGUAUGUAUGUACAUUAUGUAUAUGUGUAUGUAUGUGUUUAUAUACAUAUGUAUGUAUUCAUGUGUAAAGUGUGUGUGUGUGUAUAUAUAUAUAUAUGUAUAUAGAUAUAAAAUCACAGCCUCAAAACAAGACAGAGAAAGGUCCUACAAACUAAUAUUUAUGUUUAUAGAUAAAGAAAGUAACAAAGAAAUCUUUAACUUUUUCCCAAGCUAUACAGAUAGUAAGUGACAGAGCCAGGAUUUGAACCUCUGAGUCUGCCAUUGUAAACUCAUGCUUUCUAUUGCCUCCUUGCUAUCAGUAUUACAGAUUUUAAAAGAGUAUGCAAUGGGAGAGAGUGGUGAGUAUUUGGUUAGAUGCACUGAUUUCAUCAGGUUUUGCAUAAGGCAGUGUGGCUAUCUAGCCAUAUUAAUCAGCAAAACUUUUCCUCACUCAAGUGAGACUUUGACAUCUAUCUUCAUGUAAUCUAGAGGACCUGGGAAUUCUGUUUAAUUACUGAAGUUAUUCCAGGAAGCCACUGAACUGAAAGUGAAUAAAGUCACAAAAAAAGAGGUAUAAAACUAUCUAAGGCCCAGAUUUACCUCACUGGUAAAUCAGGGGUGGCCCCAUAAAUUGAUGUUAUGCUGCUGUGUUUAUAAUACUCAUUUUGGGUAAAUUUUAUCCAAAUGACAGGAAAGAAUAUCUUUUUUGAGUUAGGAAAUUUUGUGGUAAUGAAAUAUUGGCAAAUGGAAAAGGGAGUGAAAAAGAUUAAGCAACGUGAAUGUCACCUGUGGGAUGGCAAAUAUUUGUUUUAACAGGUUAAAUAUUAGCACCUUGAAUAGAGCUAUGGGUCAGUCUACUUCUGUUUCUUCUGAAAGUGGCCUACUAUUGGAGUCAGCCACUUUAACUCCUAGACCCCCAAUUCUCACUUAGUUAAAUGGAAGCAAGAAUUCUCAGCAAAGAACAUUCACUAUGGAUGUGGAGUGAAUAAAUAUCUGGUCAGCUUCCAGCUGGAGUUUUUUGUUACCUUUUAGUGCUGAAACUAUUGGAAGAGGGCCAUGUUGGCACCUCUCUGCUACCUCAUUUAUUUCCCAGCUACUCUCCAGAAGAAGUUACUGGGAUUUGUGAGUAUGUGAUAUGGGAGAUUGAAUGGGGUAGGCGAGGAAAGGUGAGGGAGGGAGGGAAGCCUGAAAUGUGACCAUGAGAAUGCUAUACAGGGCAGCUACUUUUGAGUCAUGAAUCCACCACCAGCCAGCAUGAAUUCAAGGAUCUUGGUUGGGAGAAAAUUUGGGCUUAGCAAAAGCUUGGGGGAGGGGAGGUUAACACUGGCCACAGGUCGAACCUAAUAAACUGUAUUCACCAACACACCUACCCAAUGCAGACUCAUGGGCUCUGCAAUUCAGAUCCUUAAACAUUAAAUCUCCCAGUAGAGAUGUAGCUGGGCACGAACUCUAAGACAACUCUAAGAAAACCAUGGCAAUGGAAGAAGGCAAUGGCAGAGAAAAUACUAAAUGGUGUAGGCAGCCAGAGAAGAAUCUCUACAGUCCUUGAAUAGCCCACUGAAAGCUGGAAUGUAGCACUUCUGCCCAGAGCCCUCACAGCUCAUGUGGGUCAUAGUCCUGAGAAUAGAUGUGACUGGUCCAGAAAAAAAAAAAAAAAGCUAAAUGUAGAAGGACAUCAUUGAACCUGUCUGAUGAGUAAUACUUGCCUAGUGCUUUGACGUUUUUAGAAGAAACAUGAAAUCAAUGGGUAAAUUGUUAGAACAGUACACAAAGCAGGUAGCUGGCUAUCAUGGUUCCAAGAUAAUCUCGAAUCUAUGCUCCUAUGUAAAAAGAACAAGCAGGAUCUUGAAAAGACUUUCAUAAUUUAUUUAGAAAGAAUCCUAUGUUCUAAGGACUGUAUUCUCUUUGUUAGAGGUGAGCAAACACUGACGUUUGAGGCCAUGAGAUCAGAUGUAAUUAAUAGAAUGUUAACUCAUUAUGUCUAACACCAAAUCCCCCAGGGUCUGUGAGAAAGGAACUAAAAAGCCACUCAAGUGAGAGACUGUGGCUUAUUAGCACAAGGAGAAAACCACUAUCAUUUCUGCUCUUUGUUUUACAGUUAUAUAGCAAUGAAUAGUUCAUAAUACAUUUUUUAUUGAAUUGACAGCUUUGAGUACCACAAAGUUAAAAAGAAUGGAUAUUAAUAUCCUCAUCUGUAGGAAAAGAAACUGGGACUCAGGCUCAAAUGCUCAAAAUGAAAGCUUCACCUCCUCUUUUCCCUCCAAGUCUAGCCUCAUCCUCUCAUGUUAUGAUUGCUUCAAACUCUAGAUAAAGUGAAAUAAACAGACUGACCCCCAACAGGGUCUACGCAAGUUACAUGCAGGGUGUCUCCUGAUAGGGUCCCUGCUAGUUCAGGGUUUACCCUAAAAAGGAGACACACAGGUAGUCACAUUACUGGGUUUUAUGGCAUGUAGAAGAUUGGUGAUUGUAUGAUAACCAACAAGAGUUGAGCAGUUACCAGCACAGUAAGAAGACUAUGCUAAGAACUUUUCCUGUAUUAUCCUCACAAUAACCUCUGAAAUCAGUAUUAUUAUAACUCAUUUUACAGGCUACUGAGACAAGUAUGAAGUAGCUUUCCUCAAGUCAUUCAGUAAGGGUAAACCCACAUAGAUUUGUACUUGUAGGCUUAGUAAUUAAUACUUUGUCUUUGACUUUGGUGUCUAUGCCAUUCCUGAGUCUAAAUGAAGUUAGAAGAACAAUGAAUUUGGUAGAAAAGAAUACAAACUCAGGGUCAGGAGAUGUGAGUUCUAGUCUCACCUCUGCUACUGAUGAGCUGUACAUCUAAGCCUCACUUCCCUCAUCUGCAAAAUGAAAGUUUGGUCCUAUGUAAUUUCCACGGUUCCUCACAAAUCUAAUAAUGGGAUGUAUUUGACUAAAGACUGUGCCAUAUUAGCUUCUCAAAGUUCUCAUUUCCUAAACUACAGUCUGAAGGUAUUCUCUGGGCUUCUGAACUCAGGUAUGCUACACUAACUAUCUUAGAAAAUCCAAACUUGUAAGAAAUGUUUUAUUGAGUUCUUGAGCUCUGCAAAACUCCUAGGAAUGUUGAUAACUCAUCUUUUCAGGCUCCUGCCUUGGGCUUGCAUUGACUGUGACAUCCAGUGUCCAAUGACUCCUCAUGUUUAUUCUGAGAGGUGGGUUAUAGGGUAUCACCACCUUUCAGACGAGCCUUCUUCAAUUGCCUUUGGCAGCUUAAAAAUCACUUUCACAGCUCACAGUACCCUGAGGUGCUAGGGUUCUCAUUUUAUACAUGAAGAAAUUAAACCCUAGACAGUGCUAUGCCUUGACUAAACUCUAAAUACUCAUGAGUAAAGACCUGGGUCCUGAACCAGGGAUCGAGCCACAGCCACUGUAGAAGCAAUGCCAAGUAGUUAUGUUGUGAGCCACAUGGGGUUAUGUUGGAGCAUGAUAAUGUGAGAAAAAAGAAUGUAUACAUGUAUGUGUAACUGGGUCACCAUGCUGUACAGUAGGAAAAAAAAAAAAAGACCUGGUCCUAAACCCCAUCUUCUGACUCUAAAUAUAGAUGUAUUUCCAGUGCCUCUUGUACAGAAGGUAGGGCCUACACUAGUAAAGAUUCAUGACUCUCCCCUUUACCAUCCAUGUGAUCUUGGGUGAGUCAUCCAAAGUUUAUGCAUUUUAUCUGUGAAAUGGGCUAAUAAUACCUAUGAUGCAAUGGUAAUGGCUCAGAUAUGACACAUUCAAAAUUACCUAGCAGGGUGGCUAGCACAAAGUACAUACUCCAGAUCACUUUUAUUUCCAUUUCUCCAUGUUUGAAAACCUAGUGUUUUCUUUUGCUUCCAAGAAGUUUACAGUUUUGUCCUUCCAGUCUAAUUACUAUAUGAAUGAAGAACCAAUAUUUUAAAGAUUUCCUAUAAAAAUCAUUUUCUUGUCAGUGGAGAGCAAAGAAUAGAACAAGUUAUAAGAUUGAAAAAUUUUUAAUUUAAUACAUCAGGAUAAUCUGGGGCUCCAGAGUUAUAGCUUUCUUGCUAUUUAAGUCUCUUUAUUCUGUUAGCUUCUAAAGCUCAUUUUCCAUCUUUUAAACUCAUCUUAAAAAAAAUGAACUCACAAUGAUAUAAUAUAUUAGUCAAGCAUCCUCUCAGGCAUUAAGUACAUAAAUGUAAACUCUAAUGGAAACUCAAGCAUUAGAAAAUCUAUAUUCAGCAUAUAAAGCUUUGUCCAUGGUGAAACAUUUACCCAUUCUCAAUUUAUGCUGUAAUCAGCAAAAGACUAGGACCCAAACACAGUGAACAAGUCUCCAAGCUAUAUUUUUCCAUUUUUAAUAUUACUAUUCAUGCACAUUUAUUUAAAAACAGAACAUUUUCUUUUAACCACCAUUACUGGUUUUCAAUUCCAGAUGUUUGAUGUCCUGCUGAUUUUAUCACCUGAUUGUCUCAGCCGGUUUCUGGUGUUGGGAAAGAGCAGACAAACUAUCAUUGAUUUAUCUAUCUACUGUGUGGGUAAGGCUCUUCUUUGCAUUAUCAUGCUUUAUCCAUUUGACUCUGCAGAGGUAUGCAGACCUGCAUGGUGAUGUCAGACUCCAGAGUCUGUGUUCUCCACUUCCCCUCAUUACUUCCAGGGGUCCUGACACUAAAGAAUCCUGGGAUGGACUAGGAGUCUGGGUUUGCAGAUACAGGCUAUUACAUUUGGGGUGGAUGAGCAAUGAGUUCCUAAUGUAUGGCACAGAGAACUAUAUCUAAUCUCCUAGGAUAGAACCUGAUGAAAGAUAAUAUGGGGAAAAGAAUGUAUGCAUAAGUGUGACUGGGUCAUUUUGCUGUACCGCAGAAAUUGGCACAACAUUGUAAGUCAACUAUAUUUUAAUAAAAAUAAUAUGUGCAAAAAAAAAAAAAAAAAAAAAAAAAA